rnacentral:lncRNA from 1 species
ACCAGGUCCUGUCGCCUCUCUGUGUCCCCCCAGGCCCUGGAGGCGCCUCAGCAGGAGGAUGAGCGUUUGUGCAUGCUGGAUUCCUGCUGCCACCUCAUUUGUCACCUUGAUACUCUACUCUCUCCUCCUGCUGGCCCUUUACACCAUGCUCAGCAGGAAAAUUGCCCAGCAUUCCUGCAGGAUGCAGGUGAGCAGCAGCCCUGCGGAGCAUCGCAGCGCUCACCCAGCUGCGGCACCGGGAGGGGACACGGCG